rnacentral:rRNA from 1 species
CCCUUAGAUGUUCUGGGCCGCACGCGCGCUACACUGGCGGAGGCAGCGAGCGUGUCCUUCGCCGGCAGGUGCGGGCAAUCUUGCGAGUCUCCGUCGUGCUGGGGAUAGAUGGUUGCAAUUGUCGAUCUUGAACGAGGAAUUCCUAGUAAGCGCGAGUCAUCAGCUCGCGCUGAUUACGUCCCUGCCCUUUGUACACACCGCCCGUCGCUACUACAGAGUGCCCGUGUCCAAGAAACGGUCGGACCUGUGCGGCCUCUCCGGGCGACCGGAGGGCCGUUACGGGGAAGACCCUUUAUUUGACGCGGGUCGAUGAAGUAAAAGUCGUAACA